UCGCCUGCUGCCCCGCGAGCCCACGGCCCCGGGGCUCCCGCCAUCCGCCAACGCCGGGAGGCCGGCCUCCCCGCGCCCUGCCCUCCGCGUCGGGGGCCGCCCGCCGCAGACACGGGACCUGCUUCGAGGCUGCUUUGGCGCCAAAUCCUGAGGUUCUCUAAUGAUCUUGCUUCACCAUGGCUACAAAUAUGGAGGGGCUGGUUCAGCACAGAGUGGGGACCCAGCAGGUGGCUGAGGUACCACGGACACAGACCUCUCGGCCGGAAUCUCCAGGGAUGACCAGCCCCUCCCCGCGCAUCCAGAUAAUCUCUGCCGACUCUGCGGUAGCUUCACCUCAGCGAAUUCAGAUUGUAACAGACCAGCAGACAGGACAGAAGAUCCAGAUAGUCACCGCAGUGGACGCCUCCGGAUCCCCCAAGCAGCAGUUCAUCCUGACCAGCCCAGAUGGAGCUGGAACUGGGAAGGUGAUCCUGGCUUCCCCGGAGACAUCCAGUGCCAAGCAGCUCAUAUUCACCACCUCGGACAACCUCGUCCCUGGCAGGAUCCAGAUCGUCACGGACUCUGCUUCUGUGGAGCGCUUGCUGGGUAAGGCCGACGUCCAGCGGCCGCAGGUGGUAGAGUACUGUGUGGUCUGUGGCGACAAAGCCUCUGGCCGGCACUAUGGGGCUGUCAGUUGUGAAGGUUGCAAAGGUUUCUUCAAAAGGAGUGUAAGGAAAAAUCUGACCUACAGCUGCCGGAGCAACCAAGACUGUAUCAUCAAUAAACACCACCGGAACCGCUGUCAGUUUUGCCGGCUGAAGAAAUGCUUAGAGAUGGGCAUGAAAAUGGAAUCUGUGCAGAGUGAACGGAAGCCCUUUGAUGUACAACGGGAGAAACCAAGCAAUUGUGCUGCUUCAACUGAGAAAAUCUAUAUUCGGAAGGACCUGAGAAGUCCUCUGAUAGCCACUCCCACGUUUGUGGCAGAUAAAGACGGAGCAAGACAAACAGGUCUUCUUGAUCCAGGGAUGCUUGUGAACAUCCAACAGCCUUUGAUACGUGAGGAUGGUACAGUUCUCCUGGCCACGGAUUCCAAGGCUGAAACAAGCCAGGGAGCUCUGGGUACACUGGCAAAUGUAGUAACCUCUCUUGCCAACUUAAGUGAAUCCCUGAACAACGGUGACACUUCGGAAAUGCAGCCGGAGGACCAGUCCGCGAGUGAGAUUACUCGGGCAUUUGAUACCUUAGCUAAAGCACUUAAUACCACAGACAGCUCCUCACCUCCAAGCCUAGCAGAUGGGAUAGAUGCCAGUGGUGGAGGGGGCAUCCAUGUCAUCAGCAGAGACCAGUCCACACCCAUCAUCGAGGUCGAAGGGCCCCUCCUUUCAGACACUCAUGUCACAUUUAAGCUCACAAUGCCCAGCCCAAUGCCAGAGUACCUCAACGUGCACUACAUCUGCGAGUCAGCAUCCCGCCUGCUUUUCCUCUCCAUGCACUGGGCCAGGUCAAUCCCAGCCUUUCAGGCACUUGGGCAGGACUGCAACACCAGCCUGGUGCGGGCCUGCUGGAACGAGCUCUUCACCCUCGGCCUGGCCCAGUGUGCCCAGGUCAUGAGUCUCUCCACUAUCCUGGCAGCCAUUGUCAACCACCUGCAGAACAGCAUCCAGGAAGAUAAACUUUCUGGAGACCGGAUAAAGCAAGUCAUGGAGCACAUCUGGAAGCUUCAGGAGUUCUGUAAUAGUAUGGCAAAGCUGGAUAUAGACGGCUAUGAGUAUGCAUACCUUAAAGCUAUAGUUCUCUUUAGCCCCGAUCAUCCAGGUUUGACCAGCACAAGCCAGAUUGAAAAAUUCCAAGAAAAGGCACAGAUGGAAUUGCAGGACUAUGUUCAGAAAACCUACUCAGAAGACACCUACCGAUUGGCCCGGAUUCUCGUUCGCCUGCCGGCACUCAGGCUGAUGAGCUCCAACAUAACAGAAGAACUUUUUUUCACUGGUCUCAUUGGCAAUGUGUCGAUAGACAGCAUAAUCCCCUACAUCCUCAAGAUGGAGACAGCAGAGUACAACGGCCAGAUCACCGGAGCCAGCCUAUAGUGCGCACCACACACCUGCAGAGAAGCAAAAGGAUCCUCCCAGGACCACUCGGAUACAGAGAAAAUAAAGUAGUGGUAUUUUGGUAUGUGCAAAUAUUUCCAAUAUGUUAGCCAUUUCCUACCUGGUUUCUUCUUAUCUGUUAAUCCCAGACAAUAGCAACUAAAAGACUAGUAGGAUCCUUUCCUGCCAUAAGAAAUGUUUUAAUGCCUUUUGAUGAAGCAGAUUUUGGAACAAUCUUUUAACCCAGUUUGUAUUUAGAAAUCCUCAAAGGGCAAAAAACAGAGUUUUAUAAUGUCAGAGACUAGUAUUAAACAAAACAAAAAGAACCUAAGAGAACAGUAUGUGUGUAUAUAUAUUAAAAAUGUCCUUGGAAUUAAUAGCUACUAAUUACCAGGGUAAUAAUAUUAGCACUUUCUAAGCACUUCUUAUCAAUGCGUAAUGUUAGCAACAUCUUGCCCUUGGGCAGGACAAACGGAAAACUGUAUAUGUCUUUUGCCGAAAUGCUAGUAAUUUCUGUGAAAACGCACUAGGGUACAGGAGACAAUCAUUUAUGUUUAAGAAAAGAUGGCAUCAUUCCUAAUUGUAUGCACACAUUGGUGGUGUUGAACUAAAUUCCUAUGAACGAAUGAAAAUGUGGCUCAUCUGUAUCAUGCAGUAAGUGGGAGUGUGGAGGCACAGUCGGUGGUGACCCAAACAGGAAGCUUCCUCCGCUGUGAGUUGAUGAUGCUUGUCAGCUUCCCUGACCUCUGGUUCUGGUCUGUGACUGGCAUCUGCAGGCUCCUCCAAACCUGGGGCUCUCUUCUGAUGACUGGUUCUCAGAAUUGGAUUACAACCAGUCAGACAUUAACUGCCAAUUCCUGCAGCAACUGAAAACAUCCCCACAUCACCUCCACCACUCACGGCAGACAGAGCCUUCUGACCAAAAAGUGCAAGGUGGGCAUUUUGAACCCGACAGUAAUUCCUGAAUGCAGUCUGGGGCGGUUGCUUGUUGUUCAGAUGGAGGAGUACAACGGUUCCCUUCUCACGGGGUUUCCAUUCCAAACGUCCCCUCAAGAAGAGCUGUAUUCCUGCAGUUCACGCAGAACUGUGAAGGGGAUGGGGGGCCAGAGGGUGGGGGGAGGUGCAGGAUUUUGCUGCCUGGCCAGGGUGGUGGUGGUGGUGCGGCUGAAUGGAAGGUUUCUCUGUUGACCUUAAAUAUCAGGGUUUUCCAAAGUGUCUCCAGACUCAGCAUUUCUGUUGGCAAUUUUUUGAAUGGUACUGGUACACCAUGCACUUUGAUUCCCCCAGGUGUGUGCCAGCAAAGAACCCUGGAGCAUUUUAGGUGAUGGAUGCAGAAGCAAGCUACCUGCUCUUAAAAAAAAACAAAAAACAACAAGCAAAAAACCCUUAACUCCCAAAGUUAUCUUCUUUCUCUUAAGUUAUAGCGACCAUCGUUUACAAGAACAGAAUGCAGUUAUAAGGAAGUUCUAUCUAGAGAAGAGCACCCAUAAAAUCUCAUGGAUGCAAGCAGCGGGCAUUUCCUGCUUGGGAAAAGUGCCGUGUCCAAGACCCAGUCAGGUACUCUUCAUUUCCUUUCUGUAUAGCCCAGAUUAAGAAAAUAGCUGAAGUUAAAUCUGUGUCUCCCAGAUCUUUUGAUCAGAUGGUAUCCAGAAAGAUCCCAGUGCGCUUCCCCGGCCUCAAAGGCACUCCCCGGCCUGGCUCAGGCCCUCAUCGAGGUGGGGUCUCAGGUGCUGUGUAGGUACCAGCUGCCGGCCGCUGCCUUAGGACACAACAGAAUGCUCUUGAAGCAUUAGCAGCACUUUGUGAAAGUCGUUAGUGGGAAUUAAGUGGGGACAGUAUCUCCAACUUCUGAAUUCCUGUUUGGAUUUAAUUAUUUAUAGUUCAUGUCUUGGAAGCAAAUUUUGGAGACAAUAGGGGUGCCCAUUAUAAAAUGAUGGAAAGAAUUUAAUUUUGCCUGCUUCAAUUUUUGGUUUUCUAACUUUGAAGUGAUUUAAAUUUCAAAAUUAAGAAAAAAAAAACUAGCCAAGACAGUGAAGUUAGGGCAGGUCUGUUCAUUUCUGCUCGGGAAGGAUUUCAGCAGAGGGUAUCUUCAACCGUGUUUGUGCAUUUUACACAGCAAGUUGCCUCUUUUCUGUUCUUUUGAUUUUUUAACGUAAGCCUGUCUGUUGAUCACAUAGCUGUUCUCUGGGAUUACAUGCUAUGUCACAUCUCCCAGAUCUGAUUCUCGGUGUUGGGGAGGAGGCCCACCCCUUCUUCCUGGGGCUGGCCCUGGGAGUCUUGUGUCCGUUCGGCUUGUAGACUCAGGUUGCCUUCAGAUACUGGGACGGUUUAGCCAAGACCUCGACUGAGGUCCCAACGACGCCACUGCUGAAGGGUUUUGGGGUAAAGGUGAUAACCGGCAGAAAAACUGAACAUCUGGGUGAGUGAGUGCCGCACCCUGGCAGGACAGCCCUGGAGAGGAACCGGCUUGGCUUGGAGGGCUGUUGAUUCUGACCUGGUGCUGGCCCUUGAGUCCCUUCACUGAUGCUGGCUGAUUGCAGUGGACCAUUUUGGGCCUUGAACACUCAUUAGUUUCCCAGAUCCUCUUGGCCUUAUUUUGAAGUAGACUUCUCCCUAAAGAUCCUGUUCACACAAGCUGAUUUCUUGCUGCCCCAAAUCAUUUUACACUUUGACAGCGGGUCCGUUCCGUCUUGUCAGAUUGGUGAAGAGAAGCCCAAAGUCAACAACGUAAGGGGAUCCCAGGCAAAUACUGAGGUUCAGCUUUCACAAGGCUUUUACCCCUUGUUAGUCUGUGAAAGUCUAGAUUUAGUCAAGGAAGGCCAGCCCUCUACCCAUUGGGUCUCUGAGUGAAAUAAGCCAGGAGCAGAUUCUUCACCACGCAGCCUGCCCACAUGUCCCUUCUGCUGGCCUGGCUCUCCCUCCCUUGCGAGGAGAGGUCCACCGGCGAAAGGAGGUGGCAGGACGCGUCAGUGCUUCUUGAUGCCAGUGGUAUCUCCGAUAAUGCUAGACAGUUAGGUGUUGAAAUCGUGGAGGUCAUUACACAGAAUGAUAAAGCAGGACAGGAAGAGACUUAGAAAAAGUCCAAAUUACACAAGCAAAUGAUACUUUCCAGGUUAUUCCACCCUUCUAAUCUGAGAUUUGUAUGUGUGUCUGUUGGGAGGUUACCAUUAUUUAUUAUCUAACUUCUGCCGUGAGGCUGUGGUUGGGGUUCUUUGUUGUUUGGGUUUUUAUAGUUAAUUUCAGGUGUAGUCACGUGUUGUAAGAUGUUAUGUAAACGCCCUCAAGAGGGACUGCUGUCUAGCGUGUCACUAUUAAAUGUGGACUGUGUUCUGAGGCAGUUGCCACCAACCACGGUGAGAGCGACGGAUGCGCCUUCUCUUGGGCUCCCUGGUGCGGUGGCCACACGCUCACUGGGACGUGCUUGUGGCCGUAGUAGACUCACUGAGUGCUUUUGCUUGUGUUGGGGAUAGCCACGGCAGGGAGCUAAGAAUCGGAAUGGCUGUAUCUAGUGCUUUUAUUCUGGACAAAAACCACAUCCUCAUCCUUCAGGGGAAUUUCUAGUAGAGCAGUCUUGCCCCCCAGCCUGCCCUCUGCCUGACACGUAGCCCUUGGCUAUGGAGCCAAGUUUCAGGACCUGAUCAGAUCAGCGUCCAGAAGCUUGUCACCCACUUCCCAGUGGAAAGGGCCUCAUGUGCAGUGGGGCUGUAGAUGACAUUUCAACUCUUCUCUAAGUCUAGGCCCUGAAAAGUCAUCUUGUGACGUUCACUUUCAUCCCGGCUAUGAAUGAAUGGAGGGAUGGAUAGUGGAGCGGGCCGGGCAGAUAUGCCCAUAUGCUUCCUUUGUCCCACUUCCAGUCUCUAGAUUGUACGGCUCUUUGAAAUGUCUUAACUUUGAUGUAAAUUUGUUAAGCCAAGCCCUAAUCGAGAUAGGCUGGGUUUGGGUCUUUUGUACACAGGGUUCUGGACAUCCUCACGUAUGCCUCCUGCCGGCGCACACUUGCGCAUGUCCAGCCCUGGGGUCCCUUCAGCGGCAUUGUGCGUGUACAGAUUUAUAGGCUUGUAUGACUGACUGAAUGUACAUGUGUUUAUAUCUUCUAUAUAUGUACAGUGUAUAUAGUGUGUGUGUACAUAGAUGUAUAUAUUAUGUAUACAGACAUGUAGCCAUGUAUCCAAAGUUCCCUUAUGUUUUAAAGAGAGUCUAUGAUAGAGUUGCUAAAGUAAAUUGAUGUGGGUGUUCCAAGGUCCCUCAGCAGGAUGGAUUUGCUGAUAUUUUAACUCCAUUUUCCUUAGAGUGAGCCUGGCUGGGAAAGGCCAUGAAGGCAGAAUCACCCUAUGCCAAGGAAAAGUUCCAGACAGAAAAGGUCCUGAUAGGAGGACAUUGCUGUAUAUUGUAUAUUCUCUGGGUCAGACAGCAGCCAGAAAGCUAGAAAGUUGAAAACUAGGUGGGGGUCUUUCACCUGGGCGCCUAAUGCCUGUCUAUAGCCUGACUGGAAGGAACUUGGUGGUUGGAGCUGUCGGCCUUCCCAGAUACUUGCUCUUGUCAUGUGGUCCAGAGAUAGGCCUCAUGGUCAGAGAUUCGGAACGGUCCGUGUGCUGGGGCCUGCCUCCCAGGUCUCCGCUUGCUCUGGACUUAGCAAAUGGUGGGCACUGCCCUGUGACUCAACAGAUUCCUAUCUCUAAUGCCAGUUGAAAAAAACCUACCAAGUAGUCUUUUAAAAUAAGCAUGAAUAAGAUAACUUACGGCAUAGAAGUUACAAAUUUUAAAUUACUUCUUUAACUGUAGCAUGUGAAUAAAAUCCACUGACAUAAAUCCUUUCUAUAAAUUGUUUUAAAAUUUUUAGAUAAAAAUGGUAUUUUAAUAAGGCUAUUUGUGCCCUUAAAAAGCUACAGAUGCCAAAUUUUUCUUGUCCAGGUCUGUUCUGAUUAAUUUUCCCCCUUAAUUGGGCUUUAAACUGAGACACGGCACUCGGGAGCCAGAGCCCAGCCCAGCAGAGCUGCUUACAGACCUGGGAAGUGGGGCCUGCCUGGCCGAGGGCUGCAAGCUGGCCCACUGAAGGGAGUCUCUGGAGAACUGCAAAAACUCACAUAAUCCACAGGAACAUAUAUUCAAUUACCAUUAACGACCAGAGCAUCCAUGGACUCAGAUGCUGCCGCCACAUACAACUCAAGUGCUGGAAUAUUUUUCUACAGUCUCCGUUCUCCCCAUUCUCUUGUAAACCAGUGUUCAACUAGUUUUAUAACUGAAAAGCUGCACAUUUUUCAUAGUACAAACCAUAGUUUUUACCUGUAGUUUGGACCUGUUAAAAUGUAGCUGCGUUACCAGCCCUUUUAAAAGACAUCUGUUAAAGGAAAAUUCGGGUGUUAGAUUUUUUGGGACCGUUUCUGUAACUUCUGCCCUUAACAAUAUAGAAAAUACUGUUUAUGCCGUUACAUUUUAAUUCCAGGUUUAAAACCUGUUGAAAGCUGUAGCUUGAAAUCAGCUUUGUUUAUGUGAUGGCAUUUAAAAAAUAGCAUGUUCUUUUUAAACUGAAUUUUAUAUCUAAUCAAUGUCUUCAGUCUUGAAGAAGAAUUUGCAUUGUUGUGUUUGUAUAUAGAGUAUUGCAGUGCAUGAAUUAGCUUUAUGCAUUUUAUUAAAUGCUGUUUCAAUGUGGCAUUAUCGUUGUGGCUUAAUACUACUACCUAAAUGAGGUUUAUACUAUUAAAAAAAUGAAUUAAAGACUAAA